GUAGAUUGCUUAAUUGUUGUUUGGUUUAAGUUGUCAUGGAUGAUUAUACACUUUCAUUUUCCAUCACCAGGAAAAGUCUUCUGAUUGUGGCAAUAGUGACAACCGUAUCUGCAUUUCUGAGUUCCUUUUCUCCAAACUAUAUAUCACUGCUCAUUCUUCGUAUGCUGGUUGGAACCGGUCUGGGUGGUGGGCCUGUAUAUGGAUCUUGGUUUCUAGAAUUCGUGCCUUCUCGAAAUAGGGGCAUGUGGAUGGUUAUCUAUUCAACUUUUUGGACAGUUGGAACAAUACUUGAGGCUUUAUUGGCUAUGGUACAUCCUUUGCUUGUGUAUUUUACCUU
rnacentral:misc_RNA from 1 species